GAUGAACGCUGGCGGCGUGCCUAAUACAUGCCAGUCGAGCGAACAGAUGAGGAGCUUGCUCCUCUGACGUUAGCGGCGGACGGGUGAGUAACACGUGGAUAACCUACCUAUAAGACUGGGAUAACUUCGGGAAACCGGAGCUAAUACCGGAUAAUAUAUUGAACCGCAUGGUUCAAUAGUGAAAGACGGUUUUGCUGUCACUUAUAGAUGGAUCCGCGCCGCAUUAGCUAGUUGGUAAGGUAACGGCUUACCAAGGCGACGAUGCGUAGCCGACCUGAGAGGGUGAUCGGCCACACUGGAACUGAGACACGGUCCAGACUCCUACGGGAGGCAGCAGUAGGGAAUCUUCCGCAAUGGGCGAAAGCCUGACGGAGCAACGCCGCGUGAGUGAUGAAGGUCUUCGGAUCGUAAAACUCUGUUAUUAGGGAAGAACAAAUGUGUAAGUAACUAUGCACGUCUUGACGGUACCUAAUCAGAAAGCCACGGCUAACUACGUG
rnacentral:rRNA from 1 species